AACAUGAAGCCUGGACAUCUGGCAGUCGCACAUGCGCACACACUUGCCAUCUUGUCUUGGUUAUUCUGCCCUUUGCCAGCUUUUGUGUCACUCUGACACUAUUGGUUUUAACAUCUACUUUUGUUAGGGCAAAGGGCAAAGGAUGAAGAGUGCCAUUUGUAAUGCCAGUGAGCAUUCUGAUCUGUGUUGCUAUCAGAAUGUGAUUGCACCAAGGAUCUCUUUUAAAUCCUGUGUGUGAAAAUGUCCUUGAGAGCCUCUCAUGACAGGACACAGGACUGUAUUUCGUAUUUCAAAAUAUUCUAACAAUGGCCAGCCAUUUUACAGCCUGAGGUGAAAACAAGACGGUGCUCCACCUCCAUAUAGAAUGUGGUUCUGUCAGUUGAAUCUUACUGGUAGCAGAACAUGGGGAGCAAGAGAAGAUGACAGAGGAUAAAAGAUGAAGGACAGCUUGGGAGAAACAGCCAGAGGACUGCCACAAUCCCCUGCAUCAGCUGUGACUGAACUCUGCCUAAUAGCAGGUCUGGCCUUGAUUGUAACUCAGCCACUUAGCCUGGUCUCCUUUCUUUUCACUAAAGAAUAACAGCUAAAAUAGACCCAUGUACAGUGGCUCUUCAACCAAACCUCCCCUUCUCAGCUUUGCAGUCAGUGGUUGAAUGUCCGUGAAGCCUUUUAAACUAGCCCCUCUUUCCCUUUGCAGUGUAGCCUUAUUUCCUGUGGAGGUUCCUCGUUCUUCCUGCAGCAUUGCCUGUAUUGUUGCUGCAUGGCUUCUUCCUAACCAGCCCACCCAGUCUGUCAGUGCAGGUUUAAACUUGUCUUUCUCCUCAGAUUACAGCAAGGUCUCAUCUGUGGAAAUGAGGGUGCAAGGUAUUUUGUGUUUUGGGCCUUUCCCCUCAGUAAAACACAACCUUGCAGACACCAGUUUGGGACAGGAGGCAUGUAUGGCCUCCAACCACUUGCUCAAAAUUUGUUCCCACUGUGGUCCCUCUGUAUUCCAGCAGCAGUCGGUACAGCUAAGUUAUGUUACAGUAAAAAAUGGCAAGUGUUUGCAUCACACAAUGUUUACUAAAAUGUGUAUUAAAAUUGUAAAUACUGAUCAAGUUCUUUCUCCCCCUUUCUGUUCAUCUGCCUUCUUCGUGUAA
rnacentral:lncRNA from 1 species